UACGGAGGGUGCGAGCGUUGUCCGGAAUCACUGGGCGUAAAGGGCGCGUAGGCGGUCCGGUAAGCGUGUGGUGAAAGCCCGGGGCUCAACCCCGGAUCUGCCGUGCGGACUGGUUUGCUAGAGCACUGUAGAGGCGAGUGGAAUUCCGGGUGUAGCGGUGGAAUGCGUAGAGAUCCGGAAGAACACCGGUGGCGAAGGCGGCUCGCUGGGCAGUGGCUGACGCUGAGGCGCGACAGCGUGGGGAGCAAACAGG
rnacentral:rRNA from 1 species